CCCACUCCCACGUUCUGCCUCUACACUUCUUUAUAUAUCACUUUGCAAUCCCGAUUGGAACUCCUCUCACUCUAAUCAUAGAUAACCCUAACCAUCACCACUGACAAUCAUCGCACAACCACCACCGCAACGAGGGGAACGGGCCGGCAACCAUCACACCACCACUCCGAUGACGGCCGCACUAGCGGCGAACUAUCAGCACUCGAUUGUCACAUCACUCCUCUCUGCGAUCGUUUUCAAUCGGAAGGUUUAAUGACGGAUUGUUAUCGAAUGUAAUCGUGAUGGCUAAUACUGUUUGUUGAAAUUAAGGAAGCACUUGAGUUGCUAGAGGAACUGGAUGAAGCAUUGGGACUGCAAAAACUUGUGGAAGCAUUGCAAGUUAGGAUCACUAGGUUUACAUUUGAAGGAAAAUCACAAGAGUUCUAUGGAGGCUGCAAGAAGUUCUAAGUAUUAAGGCGAGGCAAUUAGCGGCUUCUAGUCUCUGGUGUCUCCUUUUUCAAUUGGAUUUUAAAGUAAUUGACAGUGAUGCUUCCGAUUUAAAUCAUAAUUGUGCAGUUCUGAUAAGAGUAAAUUUCAUUUGUGCUGCAAGGUAAUGGAAAUAUGAUAAAAUUGUUACCUGUUGGUUAUAUGAGUCAACGUCAUAGUCAAAGCUCCUACUCCUCUCAUGAUUUCCCUAACUCAAAAGGAGAAGGUGUCAUGGGUUUCCAAUGAAGGUGGUUAGCUUGGUAUUUCACAUUUUCACUCAUUCCAUGAAGAGCUUUGUUAACCCAGUCAAUUUGUUGUUGCUUGCAGUUAAAAGGGAUGUAUCGAAUGGUAAAGACAACUGAUCGGGCACCGGCUUCUUCAGUUAACUAGGGCAGUUUAUCUUUACGAAAACUCUUCAUCCGGGGAUAAUUCUGAUGAUAUGCUAUCUGACAUUCGUAACCCAAGAACCAAAGAACGAUCAGCUGAAAAAUAGAGGAAGGUCUAGAGUUUACCAGGAGAAAUAUUAUCAGUAUAGUCUAUGGAGCAAUUCUUCAAGGUGAAAACUUUGUUUUAUUUGUUUAUACUUUUGUUUUCAUUUUAAGAUACUUGACGAAACAUUUUUUUAUAAAAUAAAUGGUACAUAGUAAACUCCACAAGCUAAACCUCUUCCCCUCACCCACAAAAAAAAAAAAAAAAAAAAAAA
rnacentral:lncRNA from 1 species